AACGAACGCUGGCGGCAUGCCUAACCCAUGCAAGUCGAACGAAGGCUUCGGCCUUAGUGGCGCACGGGUGCGUAACGCGUGGGAAUCUGCCCCUUGGUUCGGAAUAACUCAGAGAAAUUUGAGCUAAUACCGGAUGACGACGUAAGUCCAAAGAUUUAUCGCCGAGGGAUGAGCCCGCGUAGGAUUAGCUAGUUGGUGGGGUAAAGGCCUACCAAGGCGACGAUCCUUAGCUGGUCUGAGAGGAUGAUCAGCCACACUGGGACUGAGACACGGCCCAGACUCCUACGGGAGGCAGCAGUGGGGAAUAUUGGACAAUGGGCGAAAGCCUGAUCCAGCAAUGCCGCGUGAGUGAUGAAGGCCUUAGGGUUGUAAAGCUCUUUUACCCGGGAUGAUAAUGACAGUACCGGGAGAAUAAGCUCCGGCUAACUCCGUGCCAGCAGCCGCGGUAAUAC
rnacentral:rRNA from 1 species